UUAUUUCUUAACAUGAAAAUUUUUCUUUUAAAAUAUAUUGAAUACUUGUCAAAUUGAGUGGCAUUCAUUUCAAUUGGAAAGAGAUAAAUUAUUGUGAAUCAAACACUUAAGUAUGUGAAUUGGUAAAACAAUGUAGCGAAGAAGAAUAGGGUUUGGUAUGAUUCGUUCCAAGACCAAACAGGAUUUUACAGAUCAUGGGGUUGAUGAUGGCAGGGAUAGGAACGUUGAUUUUCUGGCUAAGGAGCUAUGAAUAAGGAUGAAGUUAUUAACAGUGAUAGUGAGGCUGAAGAGGAGGAGGAUGGUGAUGAUAUUGGGAAGAACAGCAAGCCUGAUGCUAAGAAGAAGGGCUGGUUUUCCUCUAUGUUGCAGAGUACAAAUAUAUUUGGGAAGACAAGUAUUGAUGUUGAUCGUAUAGCAGCUGGAUUACAAUGUGGUAGUGAAGGGUUUCUAUUUAUGUAUGCUCGGUGGAAAAAACUUGAAAGAGACUUGUACAAUGAACGGAAGGAGCGCUUUGACAUCACCCAAAUUCCUGAUGUCUAUGAUUCAUGCAAAUAUGAUAUAUUGCACAAUGCGCAUCUUAAUCUAGAGGGACUGGACGAGCUAUUUAGAGUUGCUCAGGCACUUGCUGAUGGUGUAAUUCCAAAUGAAUAUGGAAUUAAUCCAAAGCAGAAGCUGAAGAUCGGUUCAGAGAUGCCAAGAAUAAUUCAUCGUCUGUUGAUAGUUCAUGACAGACAUAUAUAAACAUGCAGUAACCAAGACAAUGUACAUUGGCAAUGAAAACUGAGAAGGAAGAUACAGAGGCUAAGUCAAAACAUCAUAAGAAUGGUGAAAUGGCCAGAAAAUCAAGCACUUUCAGUGAUAUCAAUGGAUCAAGACGACGAUGAUGAUAAGGAGACCAAAUAUCGUUUAGAUCCAAAGUAUGCAAAUGUGAAGACUCCUGAAUGCCAUGUGCAAACACGCCUAUACUUCACAUCUGAAUCACAUCCAUUCUUUCAUGAAUGUUCUUCGAUAUUGUAAUUUGGAUGAAUCUCUUCAAGAAGAAGAGAGCCUUGUUUGUCAUAAUGCUCUCGACUGCCUAUAUAAAACAAAGGAGCUGGACUACAUGAGUUACAUUGUGCUGAGAAUGUUUGAGAACACAGAGGUCGAUCUAGAAGAUCCAAAAAAGUGCCGCAUAGAGCUGACGUUCAGCCGAGGUGCUGAUUUAUCUACUCACUUUGCAUUUCUAGAAGAACGAUAGUGAGGCUGCUUCGUUGCACAGGAGCACACACUGCCUAUUAUGGGUCCUGAAAGGCUGCUAUGCCUGCAGAAGACUUUCCUCCGCCGACAACACCUGCCGGAUUCUCUGGCUAUUUCUCGAAAGGUGUGCUCGAGCAUCUGGUAAAUCUUUGGCCUUUCCAUAAAGCAUGCCAAUACUAAUGGUAAAUAGUUAAUUCAGACUUCCGUUCCUACAAGUUAGGGUCUUCCUGCCUUGUGUUUCUUGUAAAUAUAAAACUUCUGGAGAAAACGAAGCAAGCUUUGCCUUGCCUGGAAAAAAUUUUGGAGCAUAUCACAUCCCUUUAACGAAUGUUGGUAGAAAGCACGCAAGGUGUCCUUUUCUUUUUUCCACCCAAGGUUCUAUUACUUUCUUCUCGACAAAAUAGGAUGCAACUAGCGUAAGGAGAACAAAUUUAUCCAAGCUCUAACUAAUAAUUUACCAAAUUCUUCUGAAGCAAGUAUAGAAGGAAAACUAGAAUACCGCCGUCUUUCAAAAUUGUACAACGUGUGAUUAUGUCAAAUCGAUUACUAUUUCGAGUAUUUUCAUAUGUAUCUUGUCCCACAGUCAUGUACUCUUUAGAAAAAGAGAAGAGGUACGAUUUACUUACGAAAAACUUGUAGUAGCUUCACACACAACGAACAUGCGAAUCGAGGAGUAACCGAUAAUUCAGCCAUGAACACUUUCAUCAAACUUUCAUAUUUUUUUUUUCUGGUUGCAUUUAAUGUACUAACUAGAUUUAAAUCCGAAUGAUACGCAAAAAAUCACAAAUAUAAAUGAGAAUAUUUUUAUAUUAAAGAAGUGA